AACAAAAUAGUUUAAUUAAAAAUAUUGGGUUUGCGUCUCGAAGAUGGGUUGUAAUUUCUUUUGUUA
rnacentral:tRNA from 1 species